rnacentral:piRNA from 1 species
UCAAAAGUGUUAGCACCAUUGUACAGGUUC